UUUGCCUUAUGUUCUGCUGUUCACACCUCCCUCCAUCUAAAUUAGCCACUCUGGCUACACUCUGCUACUUCUGCUUUACCUUCUCUCUCCUGAUCUCUCCCCAGUCGCCAGUGGGGUUGCCAGUGGGGUGCAGAUGGAUGGUG